CCUAGGGAAGGCAGCAAUGAGGAAUAUUGGACAAUGGGCGCAAGCCUGAUCAGCCAUGCCGCGUGCAGGAUGACGGUCCUAUGGAUUGUAAACUGCUUUUGCACAGGAAGAAAACAACAUUACGUGUAAUGUCUUGACGGUACUGUGAGAAAUAAGGAUCGGCUAACUC
rnacentral:rRNA from 1 species